ACAGGAUCUGUCUGCGGGUGGAGGGCCACCUCUCUGUGGCCUAUCCCUGGCCUCCCUGGUUCAGUUCCCAAGGACAAGGGGCAAAGGCAUCAAUGACCCUAGGGGAGACUCAGGCUAUUUUUGACCUUUCUUUCAGGCUGGUCAACUAUAGGCAAGAGCCUCUCAAACUUCUGAUGAGCAUCAACGGAGAGACGAAGAGGCUCAGGGAAGCCCAGGGAGCUUGGACUUUAUCCUGAAGACGACAAACAGCUGAAGGAAGGAGGGGCACGGUCAGAUGGGCGUUCUGGAGGCAACUCCGGGCUCAGUGGAGAUCUAGCUCAGGUGCCACCAUCUCACAGUGACCUUCCCUGACUGUGUUGAACAACCCUGACUCCGGUGGACCUCUGGUCUCCCCCUCACUCUUGGAUGCACACAUGUGUGCCCCACAGCGUCCUUCCUUUGGUCCUGCUUCAGCCGCUCCCCACACAGUCCCUUGGCUCUUACAACCACGUUAACAACAUUGGAGGACAGAUGGAGCCGGUUGUCAGGAGCCUGAAGGAAGGCCCCAGCUCUGCUCUACGCGUGACCUUGGGCAAGUCCCUUAACUUCGCUGAGCCUCUGUAAAAUGGGGUUACCAAUGGUACCGACCUCAUAGGGAGUCUUGAUGUUCAUAAAAGUGCUGACGGUGGUGGAGGAAGGGGAACAUGGUGCAGGAGACCAAGCAGGAGCAGCAGCGAGAGAGGAGGAGGUGGCGGCCAGGACAGUGCCACGACCUGAAAGCAAGGAAGAAAGGGGGAACCGACUCUGCCAGCAACCUGAACAACCCUGGAAGCAGGUUCUUCCCCAGCCGCGCCAGACAAGAGCCUGGGCCUUGAGUUCAGCCUUGGGAGAUGCCGAGAACCCCAACUUCUGAACUACGGAACCUCUGGACUGGACAGGAAACAUCAUACGAAUUUGAGGCUGGAUUGAGGGGCAUUCAGGACCUCCCAGGCAUGAGGAGGAAGCAACAUGUCACGGAGGUGCAGGCGCGCAGGGGCCCACGCUCAGGGAUGCUUAGUCUCGUGCUCUGCUGUUGCUGCCUUGCAAUCUUGAUGACUCUGAACACAGGGCUUGCAUUUUCAUUUUGCACCAGGCAAUAUACGGAGGCACCCAGCUAUCUCCCCUAGCCAGAAUCUCAGCAGAGAGGCGGUGAGCACACCCAUGUUCCCGGCGGAACCUGGGGCGCCUCCAACACGGGGACCUGGCUGGAAUGCACGCCGUCCCAGCCGCAGGCAAGGCUCUGGUGAGAUGCUCUGUUGCAGAGGAGCACAACUUGCCCUCCAAGCAGUUCUAUCUGCUUUUCAGACCCCACCCACCUGUUUUCCUAAAAAGCAGCCGCAGCACGGAGCUGUUAAGUACCUGUGAGCCAUGGGGGUGGGGUGGGGGGGCUCAGCGGUGUCCUCAGAGUCCAGCACACUCAAGGCCACAUGUUCAGUGGGUGCCCCAGGAGUGUCUUUAAGUGAAAACAGAACAUAGACUGGACUCAGAAGAGAUGACGUUCUUGCCCAAGGCCACGAGCCAGGAAGCAGCCUACCUGGGUCAGUGGACUCCGAGUCAAGUGCUCACCCCUUGGCUACACCACGUCUGGGAGCCAGGGGACCAGGGUGCAGGUGAUGGACAAGGUUGCAGGUUGGGAGGUGACCAUUGCCCCGUCCAGGGGCCACUUGAGUGGAAAUGGCCCUUGUAAACUGGCGGAGGUUGCAGACACGGUGGGUACCCUGCUUGGGCCCCCCUCUCUGGCCACUCCAUACACGCCUUGACCCUCCUUUUCUGUUUUGCUCCCCUUCCCCCCCUGCCCCCGGCCAGGUUUUGUGCCCUCCCUCCCCACAUACACCGUGUAAACUCGAAACCUAGUUGGCACCAGGGAGAUCCAAAGGAAGAACCACGGCCUCAUUUCUUUGGGGCUACCUUCUCCUGGGGCCUCCCUGCAGCCCCCCCACCCCGGUGUUGUCAGUUGUAUGGUUUCCCGGGGCCAGGAAGUGGGGGGCCGAGGCUGCUGGCUAUCACAGAAACUGUUUCCCCUUCCUCCUGGGAACAGAGCCAGAAAACAUUUCCCAGCCCGGCUGAAGUGACAAGAGGCCGGGGACCGAGGGCUAGAGGACAGCACGUGAGGAGGAGUGUCUGACACUUCCAGGUCCAGGGGUAGAAUGUUCCAUGUGUCACUUUUCAUGCCAUCUCUGCUUGCAUCUCAGUGCGCAUGCGGCGGGGAUGCGUGGUGGCCGGGCCACCUGCAGACACGGGUCUGUGGGUCCCUGGGUCCCUGAACCACCUCUGGGCAGAGAGCCGCAUGUCGAUGAAGAGUAGCGGCUGCGUGUGGAUUUUCAAGAGCAGGGAACACACUAUUGUGUGUGAGCCUUUGUGUGUUUUGGGAUAUGUUACGGCAACAACUAUUGACUAAUUCAGAGGACGAGAGGCUAGGCCUGGGAGGUGGGCCCUGACCCUGUCUUUCGCUGUCUGAGGGCCAUGAGCAAGUCCUUAAUUUAAUUUCUAGGGAGCUGAGGCCCAGAAUCACAGAAAGGGCGUUCAAAUCCUGAUUCCAAACCCACUCGACAGUUUGCAGGAGGACUCCAGGUCUUUCUAACGGCUUCUCUCCCUCCAAAUGUCCUUGUCCCGGUUGCCAACCUCCUUGGGGCUCUGCUGUGACCUCAAAGUUGCUGAGAAUCGGUCUGUGUCACUGCUAAUGGCCAGGACCUGCUCUUGGGAGCAAGGACCUGGAUGCCUCUCUGUGCUCCUGAGGAUGUUUUAGGGGCUGAUGCCAGCAAGUGGGGAGAUGUCUGGGUCGAUCUCAUCUUUAGGCUACAUUCUGGUCCCCAGGGCAGCCUCCCACUGCCCCAACUUGACAAAGAAGCAGCCCCUAGUCCCGUCUCUGCAUGGUAGGGUCUAAGGGGUGCAGACUCACUUAUUCCUCUAGUUGGGGGGCUAGAAAUGCCCCCUUGACCUGAGGGACAUGUUAGUGUACCAAUCAGGGGGCCCUACAAGUAGGAUUUUUUGGAAAGAAAAAGACAAGAUGUACAUACAGCUCGAUACGAAUUUCUGAUAAACAGCAAGGAAUUGUGUAGCGUAAGUGUGUCCCACGCCGCAUUUAGGACAUACUCCUGCUAAAAGUAUUUGUUGCUUAUGUGAAACUCAAAGGGAAGCUGAUGACCCCAACUGCAAAACUCCGCAGGCACAAGUGUAAGAUAAGUAAAGAGAAGGGAAAAAAAAAAAAAAGUAAAGAGAAGGAA